rnacentral:rRNA from 1 species
UACGGAGGGGGCUAGCGUUGUUCGGAAUUACUGGGCGUAAAGCGCGCGUAGGCGGUGAUCUUUGUCAGAGGUGAAAGCCCGGGGCUCAACUCCGGAAUUGCCUUUGAAACGGGAUCGCUAGAGUCCGAGAGAGGAUGGCGGAAUUCCUAGUGUAGAGGUGAAAUUCGUAGAUAUUAGGAAGAACACCGGUGGCGAAGGCGGCCAUCUGGCUCGGUACUGACGCUCAGGCGCGAAAGCGUGGGGAGCAAACAGG